UACGGAGGUGGCAAGCGUUGCUCGGAAUCACUGGGCGUAAAGGGCGCGUAGGCGGGGAGGUAAGUCGGGUGUGAAAUCCCUCGGCCCAACCGAGGAACUGCGCCCGAGACUGCUUCUCUUGAGUCCCGGAGAGGAAGGUGGAAUUCCCGGUGUAGCGGUGAAAUGCGUAGAUAUCGGAAGGAACACCAGUGGCGAAAGCGGCUUCCUGGUCCAGCACCGACGUUCAGGCACGAAAGCGUGGGGAGCAAACAGG
rnacentral:rRNA from 1 species